AUGGUGAGCCAGCACGGGGCGCUGCUGAAGGUGGGGCUGUUCGUGCUGGUGCAGGUGCUGGUGUACCUCAUCCUCGCCCAGUCCUCCUUCGUCUUCUCCACCACCAAGACCCUCGGCCUCCCCGCGGCGCGCGCCCCCGCCGCAUGGUCGCGCUGCUCUCCGACCUGCCGCUCGGCGGCGAGCCCUCGCCCCGCGCCGGCAUCGUGGAGCCGUCGUCGCCCGUGGCCCUGGCCGCGCACGCCCACCAGAAGAAGGAUUAGUUAG
rnacentral:rRNA from 1 species